rnacentral:piRNA from 1 species
UCCAAAGAGCACCCAAACUGGAGCCU